rnacentral:rRNA from 1 species
GGAUGAGAAUCUUCCACAAUGGACGAAAGUCUGAUGGAGCGACGCCGCGUGAUUGAUGAAGUCCCUUUGGGACGUAAAGAUCUUUUAUGAGGGAAGAAGUUUAUUGACGGUACCUCAUGAAUAAGAGGCUCCUAAUCUCGUGCCAGCAGGAGCGGUAAUACGAGAGCCUCGAGCGUUAUCCGGAAUUAUUGGGCGUAAAGGGUGCGUAGGUUGUUCUAUUAGUCUUUUGUUAAAGACCCGGGCUUAACCU